AUUGAACGCUGGCGGCAUGCCUUACACAUGCAAGUCGAACGGUAACGGGCCUUCGGGUGCCGACGAGUGGCGAACGGGUGAGUAAUGUAUCGGAACGUACCUUUCAGUGGGGGAUAACGUAGCGAAAGUUACGCUAAUACCGCAUAUUCUGUGCGCAGGAAAGCAGGGGAUCGCAAGACCUUGCGCUGAUUGAGCGGCCGAUAUCAGAUUAGCUAGUUGGUGAGGUAAAGGCUCACCAAGGCGACGAUCUGUAGCGGGUCUGAGAGGAUGAUCCGGCACACUGGAACUGAGACACGGUCCAGACUCCUACGGGAGGCAGCAGUGGGGAAUUUUGGACAAUGGGGGCAACCCUGAUCCAGCUAUGCCGCGUGAGUGAAGAAGGCCUUCGGGUUGUAAAGCUCUUUCGGCCGGGAAGAAAUCGUAUCAGCUAAUACCUGGUGCGGAUGACGGUACCGGCAUAAGAAGCACCGGCUAACUACGUGCCAGCAGCCGCCAUAACAC
rnacentral:rRNA from 1 species